UACGAAGGGGGCUAGCGUUGCUCGGAAUCACUGGGCGUAAAGGGUGCGUAGGCGGGUCUUUUAAGUCAGGGGUGAAAUCCUGGAGCUCAACUCCAGAACUGCCUUUGAUACUGAAGAUCUUGAGUCCGGGAGAGGUGAGUGGAACUGCGAGUGUAGAGGUGAAAUUCGUAGAUAUUCGGAAGAACACCAGUGGCGAAGGCGACUCACUGGACAUGUAUUGACGCUGAGGUGCGAAAGCGUGGGGAGCAAACAGGG
rnacentral:rRNA from 1 species